AUUGAACGCUGGCGGCAGGCCUAACACAUGCAAGUCGAACGGUAACAGGAAGCAGCUUGCUGCUUCGCUGACGAGUGGCGGACGGGUGAGUAAUGUCUGGGAAACUGCCUGAUGGAGGGGGAUAACUACUGGAAACGGUAGCUAAUACCGCAUACCGUCGCAAGACCAAAGAGGGGGACCUUAGGGCCUCUUGCCAUCGGAUGUGCCCAGAUGGGAUUAGCUAGUAGGUGGGGUAACGGCUCACCUAGGCGACGAUCCCUAGCUGGUCUGAGAGGAUGACCAGCCACACUGGAACUGAGACACGGUCCAGACUCCUACGGGAGGCAGCAGUGGGGAAUAUUGCACAAUGGGCGCAAGCCUGAUGCAGCCAUGCCGCGUGUAUGAAGAAGGCCUUCGGGUUGUAAAGUACUUUCAGCGGGGAGGAAGGGAGUAAAGUUAAUACCUUUGCUCAUUGACGUUACCCGCAGAAGAAGCACCGGCUAACUCCGUG
rnacentral:rRNA from 1 species